rnacentral:miRNA from 1 species
AUUACAUGCUCACAACUUAGUGUGUGUGUGUGUAUGUAUGUAUAUAUAUAUAUAUAUAUAUAUAUAUAUAUACAUAUAUACAUACACACAUACACACACACACACACACUUUAAGUUGUGAGCAUGUAAU